UACAGAGGGGGCAAGCGUUGUUCGGAAUUACUGGGCGUAAAGGGCUCGUAGGCGGCCAACUAAGUCAUACGUGAAAUCCCUCAGCUUAACUGGGGAACUGCGUGUGAUACUGGAUGGCUUGGAUUUGGGAGAGGGAUGCGGAAUUCCAGGUGUAGCGGUGAAAUGCGUAGAUAUCUGGAGGAAUACCGGUGGCGAAGGCGGCAUCCUGGACCGACAUUGACGCUGAUGAGCGAAAGCUAGGGGAGCAAACGGG
rnacentral:rRNA from 1 species